AUUUACUUGACUAUAGCCGUCUAAAUAAAAGGGGGCUUACACGGAAACAUCCAGCUCCUAGGAGAAGCAAAAGCCCCCAUUACAUAGAUAUCAUCUUCAUUUCUGUUUCCUCUUAAAACUCUUAAAAAACACAUCCUGAGGGUUGGGAAGCCUCUGUUUUCUUUCUUUCCUUUUCUAUCAGCUCACUCUCCUAUCUCUACUCUUGGACUUAGCGCUGAAUUUUAAUAAGGUGAGGCUGGUGGAGGAUAAAGAAAAGAAGAAACCUCCAGCUCUUGAAACUUCCAGAAGAAAGUUCUGUUUAAAUCUCAAGGGUAAAUGGGAAUAAGAAGCAAGCAUACAAUCCAAUGAGCUCCUGUACUGAUUCAUGAUCGUCCUGUCCUCUCCAAUGGCCUUCUGCCCCUUGUGACUCCAAUCUCUAGUUCCCAGGAAGGAGCAGAUGCUGGACAGUAUGGGAUCAGAAUUAAAGAAAUCACUUCAAGUUGCAGAUGGAAGAAUAUGUUUGCAAUGAAAAGAAGAACUCCCAGAAAUGUGGCUUCUUUACACUAGGACUUUUUCAUUUUUUCUAAAGCACAAAAUGAAAUGUCCUAUUUGGAAACCUAUGCUGUCA
rnacentral:lncRNA from 1 species